rnacentral:rRNA from 1 species
UUGGUGAUUGAGUGGCGGACGGGUGAGUAACGCGUGGGUAACCUACCCUGUACAGGGGGAUAACAGUCAGAAAUGACUGCUAAUACCGCAUAAGACCACAGCACCGCAUGGUGCAGGGGCAAAAACUCCGGUGGUACAGGAUGGACCCGCGUCUGAUUAGCUGGUUGGUGAGGUAACGGCUCACCAAGGCGACGAUCAGUAGCCGGCUUGAGAGAGUGACCGGCCACAUUGGGACUGAGACACGGCCCAAACUCCUACGGGAGGCAGCAGUGGGGAAUAUUGCACAAUGGGGGAAACCCUGAUGCAGCGACGCCGCGUGAGCGAUGAAGUAUUUCGGUAUGUAAAGCUCUAUCAGCAGGGAAGAAAAUGACGGUACCUGACUAAGAAGCACCGGCUAAAUACGUGCCAGCAGCCGCGGUAAUACGUAUGGUGCAAGCGUUAUCCGGAUUUACUGGGUGUAAAGGGAGCGUAGACGGAGUGGCAAGUCUGAUGUGAAAACCCGGGGCUCAACCCCGGGACUGCAUUGGAAACUGUCAAUCUGGAGUACCGGAGAGGUAAGCGGAAUUCCUAGUGUAGCGGUGAAAUGCGUAGAUAUUAGGAG